rnacentral:rRNA from 1 species
AUUGAACGCUGGCGGCAUGCCUUACACAUGCAAGUCGAACGGUAACGGGCCUUCGGGUGCCGACGAGUGGCGAACGGGUGAGUAAUGCAUCGGAACGUACCUUUCAGUGGGGGAUAACGUAGCGAAAGUUACGCUAAUACCGCAUAUUCUGUGAGCAGGAAAGCAGGGGAUCGCAAGACCUUGCGCUGAUUGAGCGGCCGAUGUCAGAUUAGCUAGUUGGUGAGGUAAAGGCUCACCAAGGCGACGAUCUGUAGCGGGUCUGAGAGGAUGAUCCGCCACACUGGAACUGAGGCACGGUCCAGACUCCUACGGGAGGCAGCAGUGGGGAAUUUUGGACAAUGGGGGCAACCCUGAUCCAGCCAUGCCGCGUGAGUGAAGAAGGCCUUCGGGUUGUAAAGCUCUUUCGGCCGGGAAGAAAUCGUAUGGGCUAAUACCCUGUGCGGAUGACGGUACCGGCAUAAGAAGCACCGGCUAACUACGUGCCAGCAGCCGCCGCCGUAA